UGCUGGAGGUAUCAGAAGUGCGAAUGCUGACAUAAGUAACGAUAAAGCGGGUGAAAAGCCCGCUCGCCGGAAGACCAAGGGUUCCUGUCCAACGUUAAUCGGGGCAGGGUGAGUCGACCCCUAAGGCGAGGCCGAAAGGCGUAGUCGAUGGGAAACAGGUUAAUAUUCCUGUACUUGGUGUUACUGCGAAGGGGGGACGGAGAAGGCUAUGUUAGCCGGGCGACGGUUGUCCCGGUUUAAGCAUGUAGGCGGAGGUUCCAGGUAAAUCCGGUACCUUUUAACGCUGAGGUGUGAUGACGAGGCACUACGGUGCUGAAGUAACAAAUGCCCUGCUUCCAGGAAAAGCCUCUAAGCAUCAGGUAACAUUAAAUCGUACCCCAAACCGACACAGGUGGUCAGGUAGAGAAUACCAAGGCGCUUGAGAGAACUCGGGUGAAGGAACUAGGCAAAAUGGUGCCGUAACUUCGGGAGAAGGCACGCUGGUGUGUAGGUGAAGUCCCUGCGGA
rnacentral:rRNA from 2 species